rnacentral:rRNA from 1 species
AACGAACGCUGGCGGCAGGCUUAACACAUGCAAGUCGAGCGCCCCGCAAGGGGAGCGGCAGACGGGUGAGUAACGCGUGGGAAUCUACCCAUCCCUACGGAACAACUCCGGGAAACUGGAGCUAAUACCGUAUACGCCCUUCGGGGGAAAGAUUUAUCGGGGAUGGAUGAGCCCGCGUUGGAUUAGCUAGUUGGUGGGGU